rnacentral:rRNA from 1 species
AUUGAACGCUGGCGGCAGGCCUAACACAUGCAAGUCGAGCGGAGCGGCGGACGGGUGAGUAAUGCCUAGGAAUCUGCCUGGUAGUGGGGGAUAACGUCCGGAAACGGGCGCUAAUACCGCAUACUAUCAGAUGAGCCUAGGUCGGAUUAGCUAGUUGGUGGGGUAAAGGCCUAACAAGGCGACGAUCCGUAACUGGUCUGAGAUGAUGAUCAGUCAACCUGGAACGGGGACAAGGUCCAGCCUCCUACGUGAUGCACGAGUGGGGAAGAUUGGACAAUGGGCGAAAGCCUGAUCCAGCCAUGCCGCGUGUGUGAAGAAGGUCUUCGGAUUGUAAAGCACUUUAAGUUGGGAGGCGUUACCAACAGAAUAAGCACCGGCUAACUUCGUGCCAGCCGCCGCGGUAAUUC